GAUGAACGCUGGCGGCGUGCCUAAUACAUGCAAGUCGAGCGAACGGACGAGAAGCUUGCUUUUCUGAUGUUAGCGGCGGACGGGUGAGUAACACGUGGAUAACCUACCUAUAAGACUGGGAUAACUUCGGGAAACCGGAGCUAAUACCGGAUAAUAUUUUGAACCGCAUGGUUCAAAAGUGAAAGACGGUCUUGCUGUCACUUAUAGAUGGAUCCGCGCUGCAUUAGCUAGUUGGUAAGGUAACGGCUUACCAAGGCAACGAUGCAUAGCCGACCUGAGAGGGAGUCGGGCACCAUUGAGCGGAAACCGCGUCCAGCCCCCUGCGGGGGGGAGGCAGAGGGGACUUUUCCGAAUGGGCCGAAGCCUGGACGGACCACCGCGGGGGGGUUAAUAAUGUUUUUCGUAUCUAAAACCUUUUUUAUGGGGAAAAAACAUAUUGUUAAUUAAUUGUGCACUUCUGCGGGUACCCUAACAGAAAGCCCACGGCAAACCCCGUC
rnacentral:rRNA from 1 species